AUGCCUCGUCAUCUAAUUAGUGACGCGCAUGAAUGGAUUAACGAGAUUCCUACUGUCCCUAUCUACUAUCUAGCGAAACCACAGCCAAGGGAACGGGCUUGGAAUAAUUAGCGGGGAAAGAAGACCCUGUUGAGCUUGACUCUAGUCUGGCAGUGUAAGGAGACAUAAGAGGUGUAGCAUAAGUGGGAGAUAUAUUAGUUUCGGCUAAAUAUAUCAAAAAUGAAAUACCACUACUCUUAUUGUUUCCUUACUUACUUGAUAAAAUGGAACGUGUAUCAUUCACUUAGCUAUUACACGGAUAUAUUUAUAUAUUUUAUGGUAUUUUGUUUUGAUGCGAGCUUCUUGUUUAAAGUACCAAGAGUUUGUUAUAUACACCAAACAAAUAUCAAUUAAAUUUACUUUCCAUUAAUAAUGGUUUGUUAAAUAUUAUUUGAAUUUGGUAUAACUAUUAUACUCAGGUAUGAUCCAAUUCAAGGACAUUGCCAGGUGGGGAGUUUGACUGGGGCGGUACAUCUCUCAAAUAAUAACGGAGGUGUCCCAAGGCCAGCUCAGUGCGGACAGAAACCACACAUAGAGCAAAAGGGCAAAUGCUGACUUGAUCUCGGUGUUCAGUACAUACAGAGACAGCAAAAGCUCGGCCUAUCGAUCCUUUUGGUUUAAAGAGUU
rnacentral:rRNA from 1 species